UUUUUCUUUGUUUCUUUUUAUAAUUUUCUAGGCUCAGAAACAGUGGUAAAUAUUUACAUAGCAAUAUUUUAUCUGAUUAGUACUGAAUUUUGGAAUUCACUAUGUACCUUGGGGUGAAAUCUUAGGUAAUAGUACAUGUGUAUUUUUCUUCACCUCUAAAAACUGAACUUAGAUCAGUAAAUUUUUAGUCAGAGUAAUUAUAAUGUAAUGUUAGUCUUCAACAUUUGAUUUAAAUAAACAAAUAGUUGCUAAAUUUCUAGUCUUUCCAAAGCACUGAGAGCAGUAUUUCAGCAUAAAUAGAUCAGUAUCUACCUUAAAGGAACUCAUCUGCAGAGCAGUGAUUUCACAAGUGCAAUAACUUAAACAGCAUGAAAAAAAAAUAAAACUUUGAGUUGUAGCUAAAAGAACAAUUGAAGACUUCUGAUAGUUUUUAGUCUACAGAUAAAAUUUUUUUUAAUCUAUACAUUGCUACUCUUCAAAUCUGUGACAUUGCUGUCUUUCUGUUCCCUUUAAGAUGGAAAAUAUCAAUGUUCUUGGUUUCUUUCAAAGACUGUUUAUUUACUAAUGUUACUUGGUGUAUUUAUUUAGUUAUUUAAUAAGAAAUAACUGAAGAUUUCUACUUCUAAUGCAUUCCUACUUUAGAAUUUGUACAAGAGAGGACAUGAUUUAUGAAUUCAGUACUUGUUUAACACCAUUAGUACAUAAUGUUAUUUGAAGAUACAGAAAUUCCAAAAGAAUAGAUAAUUGAAUAAUUGAGUUAUGAACAAUUACAAUAGAUCAAUGCUUUCUUUAUUGCUUUUUCCAAAUAAGCCAUAAAAUUAUUUGUGUGGAUGAGGCAAAAGAUAGCCCUUUAAGAACAGAGUGAUCAUUAGAGCUAGUUAGAGGUAACAAGAAGUUUAUAGGUGAUAUGACUAUGUAAUAUUUCAAAGCCACAACCAUUAGUUCUUAUUUAUCAAUAACACCUUGGACCAUUCCAUAAUAUACAUGAAGACUAGAUAUUAUCAGUUGACUUGAAAAAAAAAGUUGAGCUCACUAUAUGUAGUUUGUACAACCUAAACCUUUCAAGUAUUUAUAUUUCUCUCCCCCGACAUGUCUCCCUGCCAUUUCAUCAGAUCUGUAUAGAAUUAAGCUAGAUUCUUAUUAUGUUGGAAUAAAUGAAUAUACAUUUUGAAAAUCGGAAACACUUCAAUUUAUUUAUGACUUUUAAUUCUUUAGGUUUUUAAAAUCAGGGCUUUACAGGGAAUAUUCAUCAAGUGAAGGCUACAAACCUUGAUUUUUUUUUUUCCCCCAAGAGGAUCUCAGUGAGGCUGGUUGUUAGAGUAUACUGAGUUACUUUGUGGAGAAGGAGCUAACCUAGAGCAUGAUUAGGAAUGAAGGCAGAUAAAUUUGUUAGCAACAGGUCACAGUAAUUUCAGCCUCUUUCCUUCUGAUCAUGGGCACAUGUAGCUUCCCCAGAUUUGUAUAUUGAACAGUAGUUGCCCUGUAAGGAUCUUAUACUG